rnacentral:rRNA from 1 species
AGUGGCGAACGGGUGAGUAACACGUGGGUAAUCUGCCCUGCACUCUGGGAUAAGCCUUGGAAACGAGGUCUAAUACCGGAUAUGACACACGGAGGCAUCUCCUGUGUGUGGAAAGUUCCGGCGGUGCAGGAUGAACCCGCGGCCUAUCAGCUUGUUGGUGGGGUAGUGGCCUACCAAGGCGACGACGGGUAGCCGGCCUGAGAGGGUGACCGGCCACACUGGGACUGAGACACGGCCCAGACUCCUACGGGAGGCAGCAGUGGGGAAUCUUGCGCAAUGGGCGAAAGCCUGACGCAGCAACGCCGCGUGGGGGAUGACGGCCUUCGGGUUGUAAACCUCUUUCGACAGGGACGAAGCUUUCGGGUGACGGUACCUGUAGAAGAAGCACCGGCUAACUACGUGCCAGCAGCCGCGGUAAUACGUAGGGUGCGAGCGUUGUCCGGAUUUAUUGGGCGUAAAGAGCUCGUAGGCGGUUUGUCGCGUCGGCCGUGAAAACCUGCAGCUUAACUGUGGGCGUGCGGUCGAUACGGGCAGACUUGA